rnacentral:rRNA from 1 species
AGUAUCCUACGGGACGCAGCAGUGGGGAAUUUUGCGCAAUGGGGGAAACCCUGACGCAGCAACGCCGCGUGCGGGAUGACGGCCCUCGGGUUGUAAACCGCUUUCAGCAGGGAAGAUAUUGACGGUACCUGCAGAAGAAGCUCCGGCUAACUACGUGCCAGCAGCCGCGGUAAUACGUAGGGAGCGAGCGUUAUCCGGAUUCAUUGGGCGUAAAGCGCGCGUAGGCGGCUGCCUAAGCGGAACCUCUAACCCCGGGGCUCAACCUCGGGCCGGGUUCCGACCUGGGCGGCGC